rnacentral:rRNA from 1 species
UACGGAGGGGGCAAGCGUUGUUCGGAAUUACUGGGCGUAAAGGGCGCGCAGGCGGCUGCUCAAGUCAGGCGUGAAAGGCCUGGGCUCAACCCGGGAAUUGCGCUUGAGACUGGGCUGGCUUGAGUGCGGGAGAGGAUGGUGGAAUUCCCAGUGUAGCGGUGAAAUGCGUAGAUAUCGGGAGGAACACCUGUGGCGAAAGCGGCUCACUGGACCAUUACUGACGCUGAUGCUCGAAAGCUAGGGGAGCAAACAGG